rnacentral:rRNA from 1 species
AGUAACGCGUGGGUAACCUGCCUCGUACAGGGGGAUAACAGUUAGAAAUGACUGCUAAUACCGCAUGAGCGCACAGUGCUGCAUGGCACAGUGUGAAAAACUCCGGUGGUAUGAGAUGGACCCGCGUCUGAUUAGCUAGUUGGUGGGGUAACGGCCUACCAAGGCAACGAUCAGUAGCCGGCCUGAGAGGGUGAACGGCCACAUUGGGACUGAGACACGGCCCAA